rnacentral:rRNA from 1 species
AUGGCUCAAGAUAAUACUAAAUUGUGUGACUUCACCAAUACCAACAACAAUGAUUUUAUUAGCACUCGGAUUGCUCCUCUUACUGAUACUGAAUCUUGUGAAAUUAAUGCUGCUUUGUUGAAUCUUGCUACGAAAGAUCAAUUCGCCGGCCUUCCUAGUGAAGAUGCCGCUACCCAUCUAAAUAGCUUCGUGGAUUUGUGUGAUAUGCAAAAGAAGAAAGAUGUGGACAAUGAUAUUGUUAAAUUGAAGCUAUUUCCUUUUUCGCUUAGAGAUCGUGCUAAAGUUUGGUUUUCGUCUUUGCCUAAAAACAGUAUUGAUUCAUGGAAUAAGUGCAAAGAUGCUUUUAUCUCUAAGUAUUUUCCUCCCGCUAAAAUCAUCUCUCUUAGAAACGAUAUUAUGAAUUUUAAGCAACUUGAUCAUGAACAGGUUGCACAAGCUUGGGAGAGGAUGAAAUUAAUGAACAUAAUUUCCCUACACAUGGUUUGA